AACGGAGCCGGGCGGGGCUCAGCUCCCUCUAGAGGCGCCUUGCACGACCCGAGCGUGGGAAAGGGGCUGCGGAGCUCCGCGUCGCGGCUCGAGAGCGUGGGAUGCCCGGGGGGUGUCCGAGGGAUCGAGGUCCCCCGGGCUGCGCGACACCCGUGGGCACGCUGCUCUGCAGAGCCUGGGUGGGCGAAGGGAGAGCAACGCACCUCUGCACCCCAAUUCUGCGUGUCCCCGAGAGCCGCCCUGCCUCUCCGCGGGGCGUCCUGGGCUGCUUCGGUCUGGGAAGGCUGCAGCUUUUGAACGCGGUUGGUUUCCCCUCUCUGGGAGGGCAAAGUGCCCUCGUGGAGUCAUUAAGACCAUUUCCAGAGGGGAACAUCCCCGUGGAGCCGCCAGGUAAAUCAGGGUGCAGGACCCCCGAAAGCAGAGCUGUCCCUGUGGAACAAGUUCAUCAGUGUGAACAGACACCAGUGGACUUUGCGUAAGGCUCGUGCCUCGAGGAGCUCGGUGGAGCUGGAAAGCGAGGAGCAGCCGCUCCUGCGGGCAGCUGAGAACAGACCCACGAGCCCUGAGCUCCCCGUCCUGCCCGCAGAACCCUCUGCAGCGCUGCCGAUGUACAGGUUUUCCAGAAGCAGAGCAGCCACUGGUGGCUUUGGGAGAAGCCAGGCAGAGAUGGGAGCAAACGGAGCAGGAAUGCCUGGAGAAGGUUGAGAUGCGGCACCCGCAGAGGUGGGAGUAGCCCCAUGGAGCCACACUGCCACUGUCCUGCAGGAGACAUCAGUGCUUCCCCUCUGCCGUGCCCAACCUUCACAGGAGCCCUGUGCUUCAGCUUCCUCCUCUUCUUUCUCUCGUGUUCAUCAUUCAUGUGCACACUGCAUUUCCUUUCUGCUUUCUCCCUUUUCUGUUCCUUGGAGAAGGCCCUGUGUGUUUCACCACCCUGAUGGGGCAGACAGGUUUUGUUCGAGUUGGUUUCAAUUGAACAUUUUGUGUGAAUGAGCUCUUCUCGCUUCUCCCUCUGUGCUCUCAGGUUCCCUUAUUAAACAGUUCUCUGC
rnacentral:lncRNA from 7 species